GACGAACGCUGGCGGCGUGCUUAACACAUGCAAGUCGAACGGAAAGGCCCGGCUUUUGCGGGGCGCUCGAGUGGCGAACGGGGGAGUAACACGUGAGUAACCUGCACCUGUCUGUGGGAUAACAUUAGGAAAAAGGGGCGAAUACCGGAGAGGAGAUAUUGCUGCAUGGUGGGGGUUGGAAAGAGUCGGCGGUGGUGGAUGGAAUCGCGGCUUACGAGCUUGUUGGGGGAGUAGUGGUUGACCAAGGCUUCGACGGGUAGCCGGCCUGAGAGGGUGGCCGGCGACAUGGGGACUAAGAGACGGCCCAGACUCCUACGGGAGGCAGCGGUCGGGAACAUUGCGGAAUGGGCGGAAGUCUGAUGCGGCAGCGCCGCGUGCGGGAUACCGGCCUUCGGGUUGUAAACCGAUUUCGCCGGUGACGAGCCGUGCGUGACGGUAAUGGGUAAAGAAGCACCGGCUAACUACGUG
rnacentral:rRNA from 1 species